UGUCUGUUAUGUACUUUCAGGCAACGCCUUCAAAUGUCUGCUAUGGCAGAGCCAUUGCCAAGCUACAAAGAAAAUCGUCGCCCGCACCCACCCCUACGUACAUAUGAGAGGUCUACACAGAGGCCUACAACGAGGCCUACAACGAGACCACCUACGAGAUGUCGUCCGCGCAUUUAGACGAGACCCUAUACAACAUGUUUCAGGCGAAGCAAUCCCAGCACCAAGGAUGAAUAUUUCUUAUUGGGGUACAGGGAUCCCUGUGGAAAGACACAACGCCGAUGGAUGACUGACUUCAGCAUACUCCGAAAUGUCCACUCUUGGCCUGUUUAUAAUGAACAUUUGUUGUGUCGUGUUAUAUUUUUGUCCGGGGCGGAAAAUAGGAGAUCUUCAUAUUUGUGGAUUAUAUUUAUUAUGUUUAUAGAGUUGGGUUGCAUUCCUCAACAGUUUUCUAAAGUGAUUGAAAUGACACUUUUACGUUUAGGCAUUGCUGCCGUAUUUUUGAUUUGACAGUUAUUUAAUUUAUACUGCAAGAAUACUGCGGUCUAUUCUUUAAUUUAAUUUUAUCUGGAUAUCUGUAAACUCUCUUUCUAGGGGACACCUUUUUUGUAAAACCUCAUUUAAUAAAGUUUACUUGGCAUUGCU